rnacentral:lncRNA from 1 species
CGGUUUAUAGAUUUUGUUUCAGUAAAUGUUUUUGAAUGACUCCUGGGUUCAAAUGUAUUUGUAUAUCGAGUCAUACUCAUGCACAUCUGAAUAAAUCAUCCAUUGACUGCUCAACUGAUAUGAAUUUACAAUAUACCAUGUGAAUAUAUUUCAUGCUUUGCACCCAUUCCCCAUGAAUUCAUCUACAUUUCUAAAGGACGUCUUGGUUAAAGUAUGCACAUAUGUUUGAACCGUUAGUGCUGUGACCCAUGUUGAUACGAUGCUGUGUGUGUGAGGGGUACGCUUGAGGACACUGCGUACACUGCAUGUUCAUGAAUGCUUUUGUCUCUUUACUGAUGUAAACAGGGCCUUAUCUGCUGGUGAGAUCAUGCAUCGCUGCUUUAUCCUUCCAUGCAUCGAGCCCAACAUUAUCUGUCGCAUUGGACAUGCCACAGAGUCGCUCCAGUGCUGGAGAGUUCAGCGAAUCAUGCAAAAGCAGAAUCUGGGCGAGCGUGACUCACACAGCCCUGCUGGAGUGUCUGCUGUCAGCAGGUCUGUCUUAGUGGGUGACAGGAGAGAAAUAAUGACAGGUAAGACGACAUGCACUCAUGCAGACACCUGUAAACAAACACCCACACACAUACUGUAGCCAUGCAUGCACAAGUGUAAUGUGCAUAGGUCACAUACGGGGUUAAACUGCAAAUGUGCCAAAUGGUGUUUCUAUCUACAUGUUACACUCGUGCAUUUGGCAGAUGUUGGUAUCUAAAGUGACUUGCAUUGCAAGCAAGGUAUAGAUUUUAUAGAUUCAUGCAUUCCCUGGAAAUCAAAUCAUGUCCUUCAAGUGCAACUGUGCAAGAGUGAUCUGUUUUGUCAGGCUGUUAUUGAAAAUAAGAACUGGUUCUUAAUUAAUUUGCCUUGUUAAAUAAAGGUUAAAUAACAUGUAAUUGACAACAAGAUUUCCAUUUGCUUAUAUAAGACCACAGUUAUAUGUAGUUGCAACCUGUAAGCAAGGAUGCAUUAUAAUACGUGUAUAAUGUAUUAAAAUGUAACCUUAAAUGCUAUAUUUCAAAUAAAUGCUGUUCAAUUGAUUUUUCUUUUCAUCAAAAAAUCCAGAAAAAAAAAAAAAAAUACAGGGACAGGGGCCACUUGUGCUUUUAGGGGGCACAAUUUUAAAAUUCCUCUUAAACUUAAAUGCUCUCAUGCUUGUCAUGUGACACACAGCAGCCGCAAUACCACUGUAUAACUGAUAUAUGCUUUGCAGAUAUUUUUUAAUGGUUUCCACUACAAAUAACAUCAAAACAUUACAAACCAUCAACUUUUAACCAUUAAAAAAAUGGGUUUCUGUGGUGUGUUUUGGGACAUAUUCCAUUAGGAUUUAGUUGUUUUAACAAACCACCAAAAGAAGGCAACCAAUUGCCAGUAGAGACCAGCAGGGUCCUUUACAGUUUCCAGUGAAACCAAUGCAAGUCCCAUUAUCUCCAUAUGCUCUCAAUUUAAUCUGUGCUAUUAUAACUUGGCUAAUUUAAG